rnacentral:rRNA from 1 species
CCUACGGGUGGCAGCAGUGAGGAAUAUUGGUCAAUGGGCGGAAGUCUGAACCAGCCAAGCCGCGUGAAGGAAGAAGGCUCCAUGAGUUGUAAACUUCUUUUGUACGGGAACAAACGCCGCUACGUGUGUCGUGGUGAGAGUAUCCGACGAAUAAGCAUCGGCUAACUCCGUGCCAGCAGCCGCGGUAAUACGGAGGAUGCGAGCGUUAUCCGGAUUUAUUGGGUUUAAAGGGUGCGUAGGCGGUUGGGAAAGUUAGCGGUAAAAUGCCGGGGCUCAACCCCGGCGAGCCGGUAAGACUGUUGGACGAGAGAAGAGGAGAGGUAGGCGGAAUGCAUGGUGUAGCGGUGAAAUGCAUAGAGA